UACGUAGGGAGCAAGCGUUGUCCGGAAUCAGUGGGCGUAAAGCGCGCGUAGGUGGCUUCGUAAGUCCGUUGUGAAAGUCAAAGGCUCAACCUUUGAAAGCCGAUGGAUACUGUGGAGCUAGAGUACGGAAGAGGCGAGUGGAAUUCCUGGUGUAGCGGUGGAAUGCGCAGAUAUCAGGAGGAACACCAAUAGCGAAGGCGGCUCACUGGCCCGAUACUGACGCUGGAGGUGCGAAAGCGUGGGGAGCAAACAGG
rnacentral:rRNA from 1 species